rnacentral:rRNA from 1 species
AUGGAUGCCGUUGUUGAUGUUGCCGAUGCUAUGGGCGCUGUGACUAUAGAGAACGGGGCGAAGCUGGAGUUGCCUGACAGUGUAGAGGAGCGCGGCGAAGAGCAUGAUGCGCAGGCCAACAGAGACCAUUCAGGGGAGAGUGAGGUGAUCAACCCGCACGAAGAGGCAGGUGGAGAAGCCACCUCACAGCCAGAAGGGAGGAAGAUCGGCCGUUCCAAGGGAGCUGCAAGUCAUGGUCCUAAGGUUGCAAAGACAAGGAGCCCAAAGAGUGGAGAUGAAGGUCUAGCAAGGAGAAGCACCCCUAGUUCCUCUCUUCGUAAGGCACCCAUUGCGCGAGUAUCACAUGCAGACUCAGGCACUGGCUCUUGUACCAAUGGUGAUCCGAGUGUCGAUAAGAAAGUCUCAAAUACUUUGUUUGGUAAUGGUAAUCAGAAAUCUGGAAAGAUCGAGUCUCGUCCGUCUGCCAAGGAGACAUCAUUGCUCGAGGACGCAAAAUCCAGGGAGGGAAGUAAAGCUCAAAAGCAAUCAGACCAGCAUUCUUCCAUCAGAAGAGAUGAAGAAGAUUUAAAUAGUGAAAGUUCAAAAGCUCGAAGGGCUGGCAGCACUCCUGCCUAUGGAUUCAGUUUCAAGUGUGAUGAGAGAGCUGAAAAAAGAAGAGAGUUCUACUCAAAGCUUGAGGAGAAGAUUCACGCAAGAGAGAUGGAAAUAAGCAAUAUGCAAGCUAAAUCGAAGGAGACUGAAGAAGCUGAACUCAAAAUGCUGAGAAAAAGCUUAAAGUUCAAGGCAACGCCGAUGCCAAGCUUCUCCCCACCACCAAAGGUUGAACUGAAAAAGAUUCCUCCCACUAGAGCUAAAUCACCAAAGCUUGGCCGUUCCAAGAACAAAUCUGGGCUGGAGGCUGAAGAAAGUACCACCCCAAGCCAUCCUAUCCGUGUGAGCCUUGAUGAGAAGGCUACUCAAAAUGGUGCGAAGAAAGUAACCCCAUCAAACUCAGUGAAGAAGCCCCAGAGGAAGUCACUCCCGAAAUUGCCAUCAGAGGCAAGCGGCCCACUUGAGGCCACACAGCCAAAAAGCAUGGAGGACCUAAACACAGAUAAUCAUCAGGAGUCAGGGUCGCCAGCAAAGCAGCUUCAGGAAACCGAGUCGAUCGCCAGCAACGCCCAGGAGCCGAUCCGAGCUAAAGUUACCCCCGACGACCAAGAACUCGACGAACAGGCAUCCGUGUAG